rnacentral:rRNA from 1 species
GAUGAACGCUGGCGGCGUGCCUAAUACAUGCAAGUCGAGCGAAUGGAUUAAGAGCUUGCUCUUAUGAAGUUAGCGGCGGACGGGUGAGUAACACGUGGGUAACCUGCCCAUAAGACUGGGAUAGCUCCGGGAAACCGGGGCUAAUACCGGAUAACAUUUUGAACCGCAUGGUUCGAAAUUGAAAGGCGGCUUCGGCUGUCACUUAUGGAUGGACCCGCGUCGCAUUAGCUAGUUGGUGAGGUAACGGCUCACCAAGGCAACGAUGCGUAGCCGACCUGAGAGGGUGAUCGGCCACACUGGGACUGAGACACGGCCCAGACUCCUACGGGAGGCAGCAGUAGGGAAUCUUCCGCAAUGGACGAAAGUCUGACGGAGCAACGCCGCGUGAGUGAUGAAGGCUUUCGGGUCGUAAAACUCUGUUGUUAGGGAAGAACAAGUGCUAGUUGAAUAAGCUGGCACCUUGACGGUACCUAACCAGAAAGCCACGGCUAGCUACGUGCCAGCAGCCGCCGUAA